CAGAGGUGCGGGGUGGGGGGCGUGGGGGGCCUUCUCAGGGAGGGCUACCUGAGAACACAGCUGGAUCCUACAGUCCUGUUCCCUGAUGCUUGGGAUUUCCUCUUUGCUCCCAGAGAAAGGGAGAAACAUAGAUUUUGUGAACUCCUAUUAUGCAGGCUCAAGAGGAAACAGCCCAGUGAUCUCUUUCUUCUAUUUUGAGGUCAGGAAGAAGGUGCUCAUGCUGCUGACCGUCCUCAUGUGCACAACCUGGUAGAGGACACAGACAAAUAAACAGAGAGCUGGUGGAGGACCUACCCGAACAAAACGGAGGAGCAAAUCUGGGAAGUAGACACCCUGGGCGUAAUUGAAUGGUGUUCAGGUGGGCGGGGGUUGGAUCAAAA